CCCUUAGAUGUUCUGGGCCGCACGCGCGCUACACUGACUGGUGCAACAAGUGUCGCUCCUUGGCCGAUAGGCCUGGGCAAUCUUUGAACGCCAGUCGUGAUGGGGAUAGAUUCUUGCAAUUUUUGAUCUUCAACGAGGAAUUCCUAGUAAACGCGAGUCAUCAACUCGCAUUGAUUACGUCCCUGCCCUUUGUACACACCGCCCGUCGCACCUACCGAUUGAAUGGUCCGGUGAAGCCUCCGGAUUGGCGCGCACCUCGGUGCCGCCGAGAAGUUGGCUAAACCUUACCAUUUAGAGGAAGGUGAAGUCGUANCA
rnacentral:rRNA from 1 species